rnacentral:tRNA from 1 species
UACAUUUUGGUGUGUGAUGCACGGGGGUUUUUGAUACUUCAGGGGAUGGUUUGAUUCUGUUUAAUGUAA